rnacentral:misc_RNA from 1 species
AACGCACAUUGCGCCCCCUGGCAUUCCGGGGGGCAUGCCUGUUCGAGCGUCAUUACACCACUCAAGCCUGGCUUGGUAUUGAGCGCCGCGGCCUGCCCGCGCGCUCCAAUGUCUCCGGCUGAGCCGUCCGUCUCUAAGCGUUGUGAAUAGCGAUCGCUUGCGAGGCCCGGGCGGUUCGACGCCGUUAAACCCCCCAUUUUCUAUGGUUGACCUCGGAUCAGGUAGGGAUACCCGCUGAACUUAA